rnacentral:tRNA from 1 species
GAGGGUUUAGCUCAGUGGUAUAGCAUGUGCUUAGUGUGCACAGGUCCUGGGUUCAAUCCCCAGCACCUCCA